ACACCAAACAAAACACAGAACCUAGGACUCUAGGAGAGAAGAGAGUAUGAUGGCACAGGCUAGUGGAAAAACUCUGGUGCAGUGGUUGGUUGCAGGAUUGUUGAUAGCCUUAUUGGGAGUUGCACAAGCUGUUGAGCUGUGUAACAUAGACUCAGAUAAACUAAACCUGUGUCGUGCUGCAGUUUCUGGUCGAAACCCUCCACCACCAGAUGAAAAAUGUUGUGGAGUGAUUCGCCAAGCCAAUUUACCUUGUCUUUGCAGUUACAAGUCUAUCCUACCAGCACUUGGAAUAAACUCCAAAAAUGCUUUGGCCUUGCCGGGUAAAUGUGGUUUGCAGAAACCUUCUAAUUGCUGAGGUCAUAAUCACUACGACCACCUAGUCUUCAAUUUCUUUCACUCAGGUGUUUCAUUACAACUGAAGAUAAAUUUGAAGACAGCCCUUGAAUAACGGUGCAGUUUAUUUUAAUUGUGUGUGUUUUGUCCAAAAGUCUGUAAGCAGAUGUAUGGAGUAUAAGUGUUUGCUGUAACAAAGGUGUUUGAUAUACUAUUACUCUUGUAAUGUUUUUGAUGAAAUAUCUGGUUCUGAGGUUCUCAACUCAGUGGAAAAUCAAUAAAUGACAGAGCCAGUGUCUAUAUACAUGAGACUCAAUGCAUAAUCCUGAAAGAAACCCUUUCAAACCAGACAUAUAGUAAUGAGUCGUGAAUAGAUUAUAGUGGAGAGAACUCAGGUUCGGACUUCACAAUUUUUCAAGUAA